CGUCUAGGCCAUGCCACCCUGAUCGCGCCCGAUCUCCUCUGAUCUCGGAAGCUAAGCCGGGUCAGGCCUAGUUAGCACUUGGAUGU
rnacentral:rRNA from 1 species